rnacentral:rRNA from 1 species
GACGAACGCUGGCGGCGUGCUUAACACAUGCAAGUCGAACGGAAAGGCCCUGCUUUUGUGGGGUGCUCGAGUGGCGAACGGGUGAGUAACACGUGAGUAACCUGCCCUUGACUUUGGGAUAACUUCAGGAAACUGGGGCUAAUACCGGAUAGGAGCUCCUGCUGCAUGGUGGGGGUUGGAAAGUUUCGGCGGUUGGGGAUGGACUCGCGGCUUAUCAGCUUGUUGGUGGGGUAGUGGCUUACCAAGGCUUUGACGGGUAGCCGGCCUGAGAGGGUGACCGGCACACUUGGGGCUGGUGUCCGGCCCAGCCCCCACCGGGGGGCACUGGGGGGGAUGAUUGCAGAUGGGGUGGAGGCGUAUUUGACCACCCCCGCGGGGGGGAGGGCGGCCUUCGGGGUAGAACCCGUUUUCGCCGGGGCCGGAGCGUGGGGACCGAGAUUGGGAAAAGAAGCACGGCCUAACCAGGC